UACGUAGGGUCCGAGCGUUGUCCGGAAUUAUUGGGCGUAAAGAGCUCGUAGGCGGUCUGUCGCGUCGGCUGUGAAAACUCAGGGCUCAACCCUGAGCCUGCAGUCGAUACGGGCAGACUAGAGUUCGGUAGGGGAGACUGGAAUUCCUGGUGUAGCGGUGAAAUGCGCAGAUAUCAGGAGGAACACCGGUGGCGAAGGCGGCGAUCUGGGCCGACACUGACGCUGUAGAGCGAAAGCGUGGGGAGCGAACAGG
rnacentral:rRNA from 1 species